GACGAACGCUGUCGGCGUGCUUAACACAUGCAAGUCGAACGGAAAGGCCCUGCUUUUGUGGGGUGCUCGAGUGGCGAACGGGUGAGUAACACGUGAGUAACCUGCCCUUGACUUUGGGAUAACUUCAGGAAACUGGGGCUAAUACCGGAUAGGAGCUCCUGCUGCAUGGUGGGGGUUGGAAAGUUUCGGCGGUUGGGGAUGGACUCGCGGCUUAUCAGCUUGUUGGUGGGGUAGUGGCUUACCAAGGCUUUGACGGGUAGCCGGCCUGAGAGGGUGACCGGCCACAUUGGGACUGAGAUACGGCCCAGACUCCUACGGGAGGCAGCAGUGGGGAAUAUUGCACAAUGGGCGGAAGCCUGUUGCAGCAACGCCGCGUGCGGGAUGACGGCCUUCGGGUUGUAAACCGCUUUCGCCUGUGACGAAGCGUGAGUGACGGUAAUGGGUAAAGAAGCACCGGCUAACUACGUGCCAGCAGCCGCGGUGAUACGUAGGGUGCGAGCGUUGUCCGGAUUUAUUGGGCGUAAAGGGCUCGUAGGUGGUUGAUCGCGUCGGAAGUGUAAUCUUGGGGCUUAACCCUGAGCGUGCUUUCGAUACGGGUUGACUUGAGGAAGGUAGGGGAGAAUGGAAUUCCCUGGUGGAGCGGUGGAAUGCGCAGAUAUCAGGAGGAACACCAGUGGCGAAGGCGGUUCUCUGGGCCUUUCCUGACGCUGAGGAGCGAAAGCGUGGGGAGCGAACAGGCUUAGAUACCCUGGUAGUCCACGCUGUAAACGGUGGGUACUAGGUGUGGGGUCCAUUCCACGGGUUCCGUGCCGUAGCUAACGCUUUAAGUACCCCGCCUGGGGAGUACGGCCGCAAGGCUAAAACUCAAAGGAAUUGACGGGGCCCCGCACAAGCGGCGGAGCAUGCGGAUUAAUUCGAUGCAACGCGUAGAACCUUACCUGGGUUUGACAUGGAUCGGGAGUGCUCAGAGAUGGGUGUGCCUCUUUUGGGGUCGGUUCACAGGUGGUGCAUGCCUGUCGUCAGCUCGUGUCGUGAGAUGUUGGGUUAAGUCCCGCAACGAGCGCAACCCUUGUUCACUGUUGCCAGCACGUUAUGGUGGGGACUCAGUGGAGACCGCCGGGGUCAACUCGGAGGAAGGUGGGGAUGACGUCAAGUCCUCAUGCCCCUUAUGUCCAGGGCUUCACGCAUGCUACAAUGGCUGGUACAGAGAGUGGCGAGCCUGUGAGGGUGAGCGAAUCUCGGAAAGCCGGUCUCAGUUCGGAUUGGGGUCUGCAACUCGACCUCAUGAAGUCGGAGUCGCUAGUAAUCGCAGAUCAGCAACGCUGCGGUGAAUACGUUCCCGGGGCU
rnacentral:rRNA from 1 species